CCUGACGCAGCGACGCCGCGUGAUUGAAGAAGGCCUUCGGGUUGUAAAGAUCUUUAAUUGGGGACGAAAAAAAUGACGGUACCCAAAGAAUAAGCUCCGGCUAACUACGUGCCAGCAGCCGCGGUAAUACGUAGGGAGCAAGCGUUAUCCGGAUUUACUGGGUGUAAAGGGCGAGUAGGCGGGCUGACAAGUUGGGAGUGAAAUCCGGGGGCUUAACCCCCGAACUGCUUUCAAAACUGUUAGUCUUGAGUGAUGGAGAGGCAGGCGGAAUUCCCAGUGUAGCGGUGAAAUGCGUAGAUAUUGGGAGGAACACCAGUGGCGAAGGCGGCCUGCUGGACAUUAACUGACGCUGAGGCGCGAAAGCGUGGGGAGCAAACAGGAUUAGAUACCCUGGUAGUCCACGCCGUAAACGAUGGAUACUAGGUGUCGGGGAGCAUAAGCUCUUCGGUGCCGCAGCUAACGCAAUAAGUAUUCCACCUGGGGAGUACGUUCGCAAGAAUGAAACUCAAAGGAAUUGACGG
rnacentral:rRNA from 1 species